rnacentral:rRNA from 1 species
UACGUAGGCAGCGAGCGUUGUUCGGAGGUACUGGGCGUAAAGAGUGCGUAGGCGGUUUUCUAAGUUUGGUGUGAAAUCUCCCGGCUUAACUGGGAGGGUGCGCCGAAGACUGGAAGGCUUGAGUAUGGGAGAGGUAAGCGGAAUUCCUGGUGUAGCGGUGAAAUGCGUAGAUAUCAGGAGGAACACCUGCGGUGUAGACGGCUUACUGGACCAUAACUGACGCUGAGGCACGAAAGCGUGGGUAGCAAACAGG